rnacentral:tRNA from 1 species
UCCUGGCUAGCUCAGUUGGUGGGGCAUGUGACUCUUGAUCUUGAGGUUGUGAGUUCAAGCCCCAUGUUAGGUA